rnacentral:rRNA from 1 species
UACGAAGGUCCCGAGCGUUGUUCGGAAUCACUGGGCGUAAAGGGAGCGUAGGCUGCGCGGUAAGUCAGGUGUGAAAUCCCGGGGCUCAACCCCGGAACUGCACCCGAUACUGCCGUGCUUGAGGGUUGGAGAGGUAGCUGGAAUUCUCGGUGUAGCAGUGAAAUGCGUGGAUAUCGAGAGGAACACUCGUGGCGAAGGCGAGCUACUGGACAACAUCUGACGCUGAGGCUCGAAGGCCAGGGGAGUAAAAGGG